UCUUUUUAAUGUCAACUAAGAAUCAGCAAGCAUGCUCGUGCUCUCCAAAAUACUGCAAAUUUCCACAUGUGUGUUGGUUUCCUACAAUGUUCGAAAGUCAUGACAUCGCAUUUCGCACCCCGUUUUGUUUUCCUACUAUAUAUAGUGUUUUUAGGGUAGUCUUGUUUUCCAAAGAUCCAACUAUGGUGAUCUCAUGCUACUCCUAAAAAUCAUACGGCCUAGAGGAUUACAAUAAUCAUUUAGUAAAGUUUUAGUCGUUAUAAUGUGAUUAUAAAUUUGAGAAUGUGCACUUCUCAAGUGACUUUAGAUUUACGUGAAUCACGCGACAAAGGAUUAGCAAAAGUUCAGAAGUCGAAAAAGAGGAGACGCAUGAAUAUUAUCGUUUCGUCAAAACUACUUAGAGAUGGAAACUGGGUCCCAUUUAAUUCCACUUAAACGCACUUAUUAUCUAGUAGUUUAAAUUUUUUUUUUUUUUGAGAAAAAUGAACUAUAAUGCUAAAAAAGUCUAAAUAAAUGGGACUUGUGGCUGCCACUUGUUUGCCAUUUACAUCCCUAAAACUACUGCUACUCCGAGCGAUAUAUCACACUCUUUUCUUCGCGCAAAUGAGUACGUGCCCACCGAGUUAAUGUGGAUACCAGUN
rnacentral:lncRNA from 1 species